UGGUGGCGAUAGCGAAGAGGUCACACCCGUUCCCAUUCCGAACACGGCAGUUAAGCUCUUCAGCGCCGAUGGUAGUUGGGGGUUUCCCCCUGUGAGAGUAGGACGCCGCCAAGCU
rnacentral:rRNA from 1 species